CCUACGGGUGGCUGCAGUGGGGAAUAUUGGACAAUGGGCGAAAGCCUGAUCCAGCCAUGCCGCGUGUGUGAAGAAGGCCUUCGGGUUGUAAAGCACUUUCAGUGGGGAAGAAAGCCUUGGGGCUAAUACCCUCGAGGAAGGACAUCACCCACAGAAGAAGCACCGGCUAACUCCGUGCCAGCAGCCGCGGUAAUACGGAGGGUGCGAGCGUUAAUCGGAAUUACUGGGCGUAAAGCGCGCGUAGGCGGUCUGAUAAGCCGGUUGUGAAAGCCCCGGGCUCAACCUGGGAACGGCAUCCGGAACUGUCAGGCUAGAGUGCAGGAGAGGAAGGUAGAAUUCCCGGUGUAGCGGUGAAAUGCGUAGAGAUCGGGAGGAAUACCAGUGGCGAAGGCGGCCUUCUGGACUGACACUGACGCUGAGGUGCGAAAGCGUGGGUAGCAAACAGGAUUAGAUACCCGUAGUC
rnacentral:rRNA from 1 species